AUGAACGCUGGCGGCGUGCCUAAUACCUGCAAGUCGAGCGCACGGACGAGAAGCUUGCUUCUCUGAUGUUAGCGGCGGACGGGUGAGUAACACGUGGAUAACCUACCUAUAAGACUGGGAUAACUUCGGGAAACCGGAGCUAAUACCGGAUGAUAUUUUGAACCGCAUGGUUCAAAAGUGAAAGACGGUCUUGCUGUCACUUAUAGAUGGAUCCGCGCUGCAUUAGCUAGUUGGUAAGGUAACGGCUUACCAAGGCAACGAUGCAUAGCCGACCUGAGAGGGUGAUCGGCCACACUGGAACUGAGACACGGUCCAGACUCCUACGGGAGGCAGCAGUAGGGAAUCUUCCGCAAUGGGCGAAAGCCUGACGGAGCAACGCCGCGUGAGUGAUGAAGGUCUUCGGAUCGUAAAACUCUGUUAUUAGGGAAGAACAUAUGUGUAAGUAACUGUGCACAUCUUGACGGUACCUAAUCAGAAAGCCACGGCUAACUACGUG
rnacentral:rRNA from 1 species